rnacentral:rRNA from 1 species
GUUUGAUCCUGGCUCAGAGCGAACGCUGACGGCGUGCUGGGGGGGAUGCAAGUCGAGUGCGCAGUUUUCUGUAGCAAUACAGGAAAUGGGCGCACGGCGCACGGGUGAGUAACACGUGGGUAACCUGCCCUUGGAUGGGGAAUAACCCCGCGAAAGCGGGGCUAAUACCGCAUAACAUUAUCGAAACUUUGGUUUUGAUACUCAAAGCCUGCAAAGGCGUCCGAGGAGUGGCCCGCGUACGAUUAGCUAGUUGGCGAGGUAAUGGCUCACCAAGGCUUUGAUCGUUAGCCGGUCUGAGAGGAUGGCCGGCCACACUGGAACUGAGACACGGUCCAGACUCCUACGGGAGGCAGCAGUGGGGAAUAUUGCGCAAUGGGCGAAAGCCUGACGCAGCGACGCCGCGUGGGGGAUGACGCUUUUCGGAGUGUAAA